rnacentral:lncRNA from 1 species
ACAUGGGUGGCACCAUCCCAGGGACUGGAGUCCCAGACUGAAUAAAAAGGGAAAAGGAGACAAGCUGAGUAUCAGCAGUCACCCCUCUCCUUCCUGACAGCAGCAUAGUGUAAUUAACAGCUUCAUAAUCCUGCCAUCACAGCUGCCCACCAAGAUGGCGUGUACCCUCAAACCAUGAGCCAUGACAAGUCUGUCUUUCUACUUUCCUUUCCUUUCCUUUCCUUUCCUUUCCUUUCCUUUCC